CCGGAAACUAUGAACUGGAUCCCUUAGGCGAAACGGUUCUACCUGGGUUAAGCUUCGUAAAACACCCUGAGCAAAGAGUACUUCUACCCAAAAAUUAUAAGCUGGAUCCCCCUAGGCGAAACGGUUCUACCUGGGUUAAGCUACGUAAAACACCCUGAGCGAAGAGUACUUCUACCCGGAAACUAUGAGCUGGAUUCCCCUAGGCGAAACGGUUCUACCUGAGUUAAGCUACGUAAAACACCCUGAGCAAAGAGUACUUCUACCCGGAAACUAGGAGCUGGAUCCCCCUAGGCGAAAUGGUUCUACCUGGGUUAAGCUACGUAAAACACCAUGAGCGAAAAGUACUUCUACCCGGAAACUAUGAACUGGAUCCCCCUAGGCGAAACGGUUCUACCUGGGUUAAGCUACGUAAAACACCCUGAGCAAAGAGUACUUCUACCCAAAAAUUAUAAGCUGGAUCCCCCUAGGCGAAACGGUUCUAUCUAGGUUAAGCUACGUAAAACACCCUGAGCGAAUAGUACUUCUACCCAGAAACUAUGAGUUGGAUCCCCUUAGGCGAAACGGUUCUACCUGGGUUAAGCUACGUAAAACACCCUGAGCAAAGAGUACUUCUACCCGGAAACUAUGAGCUGGAUCCCCCUAGGCGAAACGGUUCUGCCUAGGGUAAGCUACGUAAAACAUCCUGAGCGAAGAGUACUUCUACCUGAAAACUAUGAGCUGGAUCCCCCUAGGCGAAAAAGUUCUACUUGGGUUAAGCUACAAAAAUGGGAGGCGUGAAUAAUAUUGAUGCACGCUAAAAACAGAAAAAUGGAGAUUUUAAGGAUCUUACGUUUGGUGACAUUCA
rnacentral:lncRNA from 1 species